rnacentral:lncRNA from 1 species
GCUCGGUAUCAAAACAUCAGAAAUUACGAUCCCUGUUUUGUAGAAUCUAUAGGCUCAAUUGAAACAGAAGUUUGGGCAAGCAAACUUACUCGGAAUUCUUAAAUUAAGCUAUCAAAAGAAAGAUUUAUGAGUCUAUAUUCUGAUCAAAUAAGCUUUGUCCAAAUCAGAGGUCAAUACAUGAAGUUAUAACCAUAAAAAGGUAGAAAGGUCAGAAUCUCAAAAGUUGC